UCUCAGGCAGGCUCUCUCCAUCCCGCCCCGGGGGUGAAUCAUUGCUUUGUCCAGCACCGCCAUGCUGUAGGCUCCCCACCUGUGAGUCACUCAGUACCCUCGGUUGUCAGAUAAACUGUCACAGUAUCACAGUGCCUCUGUGCAAGUAACUCUUAUUUUACCUAAUGGUGAGUGGCCUCAACGCGCAAGAGUGGAGAUGCUGGCAAUUGGGAUAUGCCAAAGAGAAGCCGUAAUGUACUUCAUUUAACUGAAAACAUAAAACCAACGCGAAGUGGUUAGAAGCAGAGGUUAAAGUUUCACUCUCUUGGACUUUGUGUAAUAAUGAAUUAAACUGCCGGAGUGGAUGGCGGUCUGCUAAGAAGAUGAUUUGGAAACAGGAAAACCAAGCAACGUGUGGUUUAAAGAUGUGUGGCCAAUGCAUCACCAAAACACUCGAUAACUCAGGCACUGUGACCGCAGCUCAACACCAAUACAUUUUCUUGAAGAAUUAGCCUACUCCACAGAUCCAAAAAUCGCUCUAAAAAGCAGCCAGUACUAGGAUGGGGGACAAGGAGCCGACGUGAAGAGAGACUCCAAGGACAGCAAGUGUUACAAACAUGGAAAACGGAAUGAAAAGAACCCGUUUGCUGUUUUCCCUGUUGGGAAAGAAUCAACCAAGCCUGCUUGGAUGCAUGUGCUUCACGUAAAAUGCAUUUGCUGGUUUUUAAGACUUUGAGUAACAUUCCUAAACUAAGAAGCCAUCCAGAUUCCACAUCCUUUAUUAAAUGGGCUCUGCAUGGCAUCGUUUGUGAGGAAAUUCUCCUGACUUAACCAUGUGGCUAAUGCCUCCCAUAUUCCGUGAUAAGGUUUUAUGGCCCUUCCUCCUGCUGGUGGCACUUACUAAACCCAGUCAGCCCCCAGGGCCUUGUUAUUUUUCACUUUCCUUACAGCCGCUAUAAAUUCUAGACCCUGGUUUUUAAUAUGCUCGCCGUUAAAAUAUAUUAGCUAAAAACUCUAGGUACAUUUAAUAAAAAUCCCAGGCCCCUGCCACCCUCCCCUCUGGUGAUACGCUCCUUUCCUUCUCAAAUCCCACCUUCUCUUUAUGGUCUCGGGGGAGGAGGGAGACGCUUUCAUUACUGUGUAUGACUUCAAGUAAAAAAUACUCUGUGUGAAGGAUCCCUGCAGAUACCAGCGGUGUGUUCAGCUCUCAUUUUUCUCUGUU